rnacentral:rRNA from 1 species
CCUGGCCUUGACAUACUAAGAACUUUCCAGAGAUGGAUUGGUGCCUUCGGGAACUUAGAUACAGGUGCUGCAUGGCUGUCGUCAGCUCGUGUCGUGAGAUGUUGGGUUAAGUCCGCAACGAGCGCAACCCUUUUCCUAUUUGCCAGCGGGUAAUGCCGGGAACUUUAAGGAUACUGCCAGUGACAAACUGGAGGAAGGCGGGGACGACGUCAAGUCAUCAUGGCCCUUACGGCCAGGGCUACACACGUGCUACAAUGGUCGGUACAAAGGGUUGCUACCUCGCGAGAGGAUGCUAAUCUCAAAAAGCCGAUCGUAGUCCGGAUCGCAGUCUGCAACUCGACUGCGUGAAGUCGGAAUCGCUAGUAAUCGCGGAUCAGAAUGCCGCGGUGAAUACGUUCCCGGGCCUUGUACACACCGCCCGUCACACCAUGGGAGUUUGUUGCACCAGAAGUAGGUAGUCUAACCGCAAGGAGGACGCUUACCACGGUGUGGCCGAUGACUGGGGUGAAGUCGUAACAAGGUAGGCGUAGAUGA